AGAACAGUAGCUCCAUGGUUAAGCACUUGGCUGCUAACCAAAAGAUAAGUGGUUCAAACCCAUCCAGUGUUU
rnacentral:tRNA from 1 species